rnacentral:rRNA from 1 species
GACGUCGUUGAUAGGCCGGGUGUGUAAGCGCAGCGAUGCGUUGAGCUAACCGGUACUAAUGAACCGUGAGGCUUAACCUUACAACGCCGAAG